UGGGGAAUUUUGGACAAUGGGCGAAAGCCUGAUCCAGCAAUGCCGCGUGUGUGAAGAAGGCCUUCGGGUUGUAAAGCACUUUUGUCCGGAAAGAAAUCCUUGGCUCUAAUACAGUCGGGGGAUGACGGUACCGGAAGAAUAAGCACCGGCUAACUACGUGCCAGCAGCCGCGGUAAUACGUAGGGUGCAAGCGUUAAUCGGAAUUACUGGGCGUAAAGCGUGCGCAGGCGGCUUGCUAAGACCGAUGUGAAAUCCCCGGGCUCAACCUGGGGAACUGCAUUGGUGACUGGCAGGCUAGAGUAUGGCAGAGGGGGGUAGAGUUCCACGUGUAGCAGUGAAAUGCGUAGAGAUGUGGAGGAAUACCGAUGGCGAAGGCAGCCCCCUGGGCCAAUACUGACGCUCAUGCACGAAAGCGUGGGGAGCAAAACAGGAUUAGAUACCCUGGUAGUCCACGCCCUAAACGAUGUCAACUAGUUGUUGGGGAUUCAUUUCCUUAGUAACGUAGCUAACGCGUGAAGUUGACCGCCUGGGGAGUACGGUCGCAAGAUUAAAACUCAAAGGAAUUGACGGGG
rnacentral:rRNA from 1 species